rnacentral:rRNA from 1 species
AACGAACGCUGGCGGCAUGCCUAACACAUGCAAGUCGAACGAGAUCCUUCGGGGUCUAGUGGCGCACGGGUGCGUAACGCGUGGGAAUCUGCCCUUAGGUUCGGAAUAACAGUUAGAAAUGACUGCUAAUACCGGAUGAUGACGUUAAGUCCAAAGAUUUAUCGCCUGAGGAUGAGCCCGCGUAGGAUUAGCUAGUUGGUGUGGUAAAGGCGCACCAAGGCGACGAUCCUUAGCUGGUCUGAGAGGAUGAUCAGCCACACUGGGACUGAGACACGGCCCAGACUCCUAGGGAAGGCAGCAGGGGGGAAAUUGGAACAAUGGGCGCAGGCCUAACCCAGCAAUGCCGCGUGAGUGAUGAAGGCCUUAGGGUUUUAAAGCCCUUUUCCCCGGGAUAAUAAUAACGGUACCGGGAGAAAAAGCCCCGGCUAACUCCGG